ACAAUGGGGGCAACCCUGAUCCAGCAAUGCCGCGUGUGUGAAGAAGGCCUUCGGGUUGUAAAGCACUUUUGUCCGGAAAGAAAUCAUCGGGGCCAAUACCCCUGGUGGAUGACGGUACCGGAAGAAUAAGCACCGGCUAACUACGUGCCAGCAGCCGCGGUAAUACGUAGGGUGCGAGCGUUAAUCGGAAUUACUGGGCGUAAAGCGUGCGCAGGCGGUGCUGUAAGACCGAUGUGAAAUCCCCGGGCUUAACCUGGGAACUGCAUUGGUGACUGCAGCGCUGGAGUAUGGCAGAGGGGGGUGGAAUUCCACGUGUAGCAGUGAAAUGCGUAGAGAUGUGGAGGAACACCGAUGGCGAAGGCAGCCCCCUGGGCCAAUACUGACGCUCAUGCACGAAAGCGUGGGGAGCAAACAGGAUUAGAUACCCUGGUAGUCCACGCCCUAAACGAUGUCAACUGGUUGUUGGGGAUUCAUUUCCUUAGUAACGUAGCUAACGCGUGAAGUUGACCGCCUGGGGAGUCGGUCGCAAGAUUAAAACUCAAAGGAAUUGACGGGGACCCG
rnacentral:rRNA from 2 species